rnacentral:rRNA from 1 species
UACGUAGGUGGCAAGCGUUGUCCGGAUUUACUGGGCGUAAAGAGCGCGCAGGCGGUCGUUCAAGUCGCGUGUGAAAGCCCCCGGCUCAACUGGGGAGGGUCACGCGAUACUGAUCGACUCGAAGGCAGGAGAGGGAAGUGGAAUUCCCGGUGUAGUGGUGAAAUGCGUAGAUAUCGGGAGGAACACCAGUGGCGAAGGCGACUUCCUGGCCUGUACUGACGCUGAGGAGCGAAAGCGUGGGGAGCGAACAGG